CUUGCUCUGGUGGAUUAGUGGCGAACGGGUGAGUAACACGUGAGUAACCUGCCCUUGACUCUGGGAUAAGCGUUGGAAACGACGUCUAAUACCGGAUACGAGCUGGGACCGCAUGGUCACUAGCUGGAAAGAACUUCGGUCAAGGAUGGACUCGCGGCCUAUCAGCUUGUUGGUGAGGUAACGGCUCACCAAGGCGACGACGGGUAGCCGGCCUGAGAGGGUGACCGGCCACACUGGGACUGAGACACGGCCCAGACUCCUACGGGAGGCAGCAGUGGGGAAUAUUGCACAAUGGGCGAAAGCCUGAUGCAGCAACGCCGCGUGAGGGACGACGGCCUUCGGGUUGUAAACCUCUUUUAGCAGGGAAGAAGCGAAAGUGACGGUACCUGCAGAAAAAGCACCGGCUAACUACGUGCCAGCAGCCGCGGUAAUACGUAGGGUGCAAGCGUUGUCCGGAAUUAUUGGGCGUAAAGAGCUCGUAGGCGGUUUGUCGCGUCUGCUGUGAAAACGCGAGGCUCAACCUCGCGCCUGCAGUGGGUACGGGCAAACUAGAGUGCGGUAGGGGAGAUUGGAAUUCCUGGUGUAGCGGUGGAAUGCGCAGAUAUCAGGAGGAACACCGAUGGCGAAGGCAGAUCUCUGGGCCGUAACUGACGCUGAGGAGCGAAAGCAUGGGGAGCGAACAGGAUUAGAUACCCUGGUAGUCCAUGCCGUAAACGUUGGGAACUAGAUGUAGGGACCAUUCCACGGUUUCUGUGUCGCAGCUAACGCAUUAAGUUCCCCGCCUGGGGAGUACGGUCGCAAGACUAAAACUCAAAGGAAUUGACGGGGGCCCGCACAAGCGGCGGAGCAUGCGGAUUAAUUCGAUGCAACGCGAA
rnacentral:rRNA from 1 species